AUGAGAGACACAGAGAGAGAGAGGCAAAGACACAGGCAGAGGGAGAAGCAGGCUCCAUUCAGGGAGCCCGAUGUGGGACUCGAUCCCAGGACCCUGGGAUCACGCCCUGAUCUGAAGGCAGACACUCAACCACUGAGCCACUCAGGUGCCCCAGAGAAGACAAUAUUUAAAGAACAUUUUGGUUUGCCUGGAUACAGACUAUUGGACACAGAACAAAGCACACAGAGAACCCUUGUGUGUUCGGGCACCCUCUGUAUGCACCUACUCUUCCCCGGGAGGAUUCAUUCUAAGGAAAGAGCAGCAACUCUGAAGCCCCGGAGCUGCCUGCUACCACUGAAAGGCCUUAGUGCCGUGGGAUUGGGCCUUCCACCCAGGUAGGCCAUGGAAUUCUAUUGAACACAAGUUCAGAGAAUGACAAAGCAGAAUGUUCUCUAACUAUUCUGUAUUCUGUAGGGUUAUUCUGUAACUGACCUAAUCUUGUAAUUAUUCUGUAACUUUAUUGGAUCCAAGCAAAAACAAGUCUAUUUUGUAAACAUGUCUUGAAAGAUAAACAGAAACAUUGUCCAAAUGAUUCAAAAGGCCAAAAUUACCCUAACCUGGUGAAUGCCAGGACCCUGCCCUUUAAACAAUUUACAGCCUCAUCUGUGCUCCCUUCUUCCCUACCUCCUAGAAAACAGUUAAGAUGUCCCAUCAAAGAAUUAUCCUAAUUUCCUCAUGGCAGCCACCAAUCCAGAUCAAAAGCCCCUGCUUCCCUGAACCCUCCCUACAAAUGCCAAACACAUUCCCAAAUCUUUUUUUUUUUUUUUAGAUUUUAUUUGUUUAUUCGUGACAGACACAGAAGAGAGAGAGAGAGAGAGAGAGAGGCAGAGACACAGGCAGAGGGAGAAGCAGGCUCCGUGCAGGGAGCCCGACAUGGGACUUGAUCCCCGGUCUCCAGGAUCACACCCCUGGUUGAAGGUGGUGCUAAACCACUGGGCCACUGGGGCUGCUCCAUUCCCAAAUCUUUAAACCCUUUUUCAACACCCUUCUCCAGAGAUGCUCCAAUGGUUUUUCACAGGGUGUGUUCUCUUUUGUUGUGACAAAUGAAUAAAAGCAACUGUGUUCUACUAAUAAAAUGUUCCAGAAGGUUUUUGGAUGUAGAGAUUUGACAAGUCUGUGGCAUGAGUAUUUGGGAGCCAAUCGAGAGGUAGAAGAACACUCACCAGAAAAGACAGACAUGUGUAAGGGACACAGAGGUAAAUGAGCAACAGCUACAAUUCUAUCAAGUGUGCAGAAAAAGGGAGAUUGGUAUAAGAAGAGGGAGGGAGAAAUACUGCUAGAAAAAAAGAUUAUGAAGAGAGGACUGGAGAAAAUAGGCGCAGGUCACAAUGCAAUGUUGGAAGCUGCUGGUGGUCUGGUGGUGGAGUGGGGAUAACUCAUGCAUGUAUGCAUUCAUGCAUUCAGUCAGCCAACAAGACUUUACUGAGUAUCCCCUACAUGCCAGGUGCUGGGUCUUGGCAAGGAUAAACAUGCAAGGGUAAACAAAGGAAAGGCACUGUUCCUGCUUCUGGGAUCUUCCUGCAUCUCACACUUGGUGGUAGGAAGCGGAGGGAGCAAACACCAGCUAAUUGCAGAGAUAACAAUUGCCCCUAGAACCUGUGCUCUGGAGGAAAAGUGUCUGAGGCUAGCAGAGACUACACAGGGUUCGGAGACCACAGAUGACUUCAUUGAGUAAGUGGCUUUGGGCUAAGAUUUGGAGAAUGAGUAAGAGCUAACCAAGUGAAGGGAUGAUCAAAGAGCAAUUUAGACAGGGGGUAGGACACAUACAAAGCCCUUCUGGUGAGGAGGAAGUAAGCAUAAAAGUAUGAAGUAAGUGACAUUGGCGUGGCAGUCAUGGGGGAUAUACUGCGUAAGAGAAGAGAGAGGUAGACAGGAUUGCGAUAUGCAGAAUAUUAUAGCACAGGGUUGGCAAACAGUAGCCUAUGAGUCAAACCCAGCCCAUCGCUUGUGUUUAUAUGUAAACUCUUCUUGGACCAUAGUCAGCUCUCUGGAUAUUGUCCAUGAUUGUUUCCUCAUUACCAGAACUCUUGAAAAUUAUCAUAGAGGAAAGUAUAGCCUGGAAAACAAAGUAUUUAUUAUUUAGCCCCUAAGGGGGAAAGGUUUGCUGAUCCCAGUUAUAUUCUAUGCCAGGAGUUUUGUCUGUAUUUAUUUAUUUAUUUAUUUAUUUAUUUAUUUAUUUAUUUAUUUAUUUAUAAGAUUUUAUUUAUUUAUUCAUGAGAGACACAGAGAGAGGCAGAGACAUAAGCAGAGGGAGAAGCAGGCUCUCUAUGGGGAGCCCAAUGCGGGACUUGAUCCCAGGACCUUGGGAUCACACCCGGAGCAGACACUCAACCACUGAGCCACCCAGGUGCCCCAGAUACUUGUUCCUUGUAAGGAAACACACCAAAAUGAUAUAAACGACAAGAAAUAUAUAAACAGUUUGAAAUUCUUACUUUCUAAUUAUAGGAAAAGAGAAACUAUAGAGCUCAAGUUAGAUCAAAGAAACUCAUUAAUAUGAUUACAUUCUAAUAAGAAAAUUAACGAGAUUUGUGGACCGAAGGAGAUACUAGUAAAAAGUCCGUGGAGGGCUGCCUAGAAGUAUCUUCCCAGGGUCUGGCCUGGUCAUUCUUAAGAACCAAGCAUUGGAGGGUGAAAAACUUCUUAGCCUGAACUUUGAGCAGUAAAAAAAAAAAGCCUAGAUAUCUUUAUCUCUCCAAGAUAUGCACUGUGCUGAAUAGUCGAUUUGAUGUAGUUGAUGUACGGGGACAGAGCUCAUGAGAAUUUUUAAUAACUCCUGCAUUCUUUGCUGGUCAUAAUUCAUUACUGAGCCACCAUUAGGACUGGACUGGGGGGGAUCCCUGCGUGGCACAGCGGUUUGGCGCCUGCCUUUGGCCCAGGGUGCGAUCCUGGAGACCCGGGAUCAAAUCCCACGUUGGGCUCCCGGUGCAUGGAACCUGCUUCUCCCUCUGCCUGUGUUUCUGCCUCUCUCUCUCUCUCUGUGUGUGUGUGUGACUAUCAUAAAUAAAAAAAUAAAUUAAUUAAUUAAAAAAAAAGAACUGGACUGAGGCUCACUGCUUAGUCCCUCACUGACUGUAUUUUCAGUGGGAAAAUAAUGGAUGUCUGUGUUUUUUUCAGCA
rnacentral:lncRNA from 1 species